rnacentral:rRNA from 1 species
UACGUAGGGUGCGAGCGUUGUCCGGAAUUAUUGGGCGUAAAGGGCUCGUAGGCGGUUUGUCGCGUCGGGAGUGAAAACACCGGGCUUAACUCGGUGCUUGCUUUCGAUACGGGCAGACUUGAGGCAUGCAGGGGAGAACGGAAUUCCUGGUGUAGCGGUGAAAUGCGCAGAUAUCAGGAAGAACACCCGUGGCGAAGGCGGUUCUCUGGGACGGUACUGACGCUGAGACGCGAAAGCGUGGGGAGCGAACAGG